UAAAUUUUGUGUAGGACUAUGUCUCAUUGUGGCUGUGCUCAGUUAUGUGAUGUGAAGGUUGAGAAAAGCUGUUUGAAGCUGCUUGGUCUUGUUUUUCCUGAGAGGGAGAAUACGUGUGCUGACAGUAAGGACAAGUUGGGGUCUUAGCACCAUUUUCAGGAAUAUCAAAGCUUCUUCUUUUGGACAAUUUCUUGAGUGCUUACAGUGAGCACAUAGAUGUGAAGCUGCUCACCUGGAAGGUUUCCAGUGGCCAAGGUGCCAUUUCUGUGCCUUGAAAUAGGCAUUUGGACUAUACUGCUUAACCAGACUUCAUUGGAUUUUGCACAGGCAUCUGUCACUUGUGGACCUACUUCCUCACAUGGAUUUCUGUGUACUUAAAAUGUGCACUUAGAAAAACACCAUCAUCCAUAGAUUCUGAAGAUUCUGAACUUGUCUUGAAAUAUUUCUCUCCAUUAGCCACUCUCUUCUAUCCUGUCCUUUGAAUCCUGAAAGAGGGGCUUCCUUAGAGCUGCCAAACACAUACCUAGUAAUUUAGUUUGCCCGUGUUUGUAUGUCAAGAGGGCCUUUUUCUCAUCAAAGGGCAGGAUUCACAGCAGAUUGGAUGUGCCACAAACGUUGUUUGUACAUAAAGAGUACAAGCCUUUGGGGACUUCUGGAGGGGAAGAGGGCCUGAUCUUUGCAACAAAGAUUUGGUGUUUUUUUCAUCACUGUCCUCAAACCCAGGUAAUUUAAUGACAUCUAAUACUGUCAGCUGCUGAAUUUCUAUGGCACACCCUUUACACCUCCCAAAAAUUCUCCCGAUUUGUAACUUAGAUACAUAUCAACUAUCUUAAUAAACACAUAAUGUCUUAAACACCAGUAAAAUCCAGAAGCUAAGUCAGCACUUGGUUAUAUCUCUCCACUGAUGGUUAUUUUUUCAGAAUAUGUCCAUUACUAUUCUUUGCUCCAGAAAGGUAGAAAGUUUCCCUGGUACCUACAGAAAAGGUAUCUCUAAAUGAGGAGUGCUACAGAAUUGCAUGAUUUUGUUUGCAGUGUGUGUUCUGGCGUGUAGAAAAAAUAGCUGCUUUCUUCUAAGUGUAUUACAGAGGUGCUUGUUUUAGCCAGGCUUGUCUCUUCAGCAAGUAUUCAGCUAGUAUUCAUUUUACAGGUGUGAGCCAAUGCUGUAAUAGCAUUCACUUAUUUGCAUGAGUGACUGCAUAAGGCACACAAGUGGUGCAGAAUGCACUGCAUUCAGAAAUGCAACACUGUCAUUUUAUGCACGACUCAUACGUUUGGGUUUGAAUUACUUUUCGAAGCAAAAAGCUGAAAUAUACCUUUUUCACCUAUUAGGAAAAAAAAAAUUGAUGAGGAAAGGAAAAUACUCAACAUGAUUUGCUCUGUUGUAGGUAAAUAAAAAACAAACACAGGCUCGCAGAGUGGUUUAGGUUGGAAGGGACCAGUGGAGGUCAUCUGGUCCAACCAGCACCCUCUUUAGCUUCUACUGUUCAUUUUCACUUGGUCCUGUUGACCCUACAGGGAGAUCUGUUGUCUUUGCACAUACGCAGAGUAAGGCCACGGAUCUGUUGGCACUUAAUGCACGCGCUUAGCUUCAAACAGCACUUUAGUCCUUCUUUGUUUUCACAUUUAUAUGUAAGCCUCCAGAAGACUUGGGUGGGUAGAAGUUGUUCCUCACAUGAAAGUUGUCUUCAGAUUGGUCAUUGAUGAACUUCUGAAUGCUGUACCUAUGAAUGUUGUUCUCUUGCCAGUAUUGUGUGUGCAUGCGUGUAUAUAUGCUGUAGGUAGUCGGUGGCGUGUGUGUGCAUGCACACUUGUACAUAUAUAUGUAUAUAUACACCCUGGUUUUGCCCAAUGUAAGGACACCAGCUUGUGUGCAGAGCCAAAAAAAAAAAAAACUUCAAUGUAUACAAUGCUUGAGAUGCUGCAUUGUUUUUAUGAUAAUAUUUUUUAUAUGAGAUGAAUGGCAGGAUGUUUACAGAUGCUUAUUAAUAUUUAACUUAUACAACGGUGUGGCAGGAUGUCUAUGGUUGUUGUCAGCUAAAGAAUUGUACAAGAUUCUAGGUGAAAUUUUGGCUUUGUGGAAAUCCUUGGCAAAACUCCCAUCGAUCUCACGGCGGCCAAGAUUAAACCCCUCUGAAUCUGUUGUUUAACGGCUGUUUUCCUACUGUGAUAUUAUUAUUAUUAUUGUUAUUUGUUUUGGAAUGAGUGAAAUGUAUUUAUUUUUCCCAAUGUGAAAUUUGCAGUUGCUGUUUGGAUUUUUCUAGAGAACCUGCGAAAUACAACACGUGGGAAUAUAUGCCUCAUCGAAUGUACAGACUUUUUCAUUGUUCUGGUCCUUGAAUAUGCCUAUGAAAAUCACUUCUAAAAGACCUUUUGUAAGAUUUAAUACGGAAUCUUCUAAAAAUAGAUCACGUUUCACACCUCUCUACAAAGUUGGCAUGUAGCGUGGUAAGCGAAAAUGAAGAACUACUUACUGGCGAAUAGAAAGAUGUCCCUUCUCUUUUCUAUACCUACUGAUUUCCUACAGCUCGCCUGGCUCUGCAGACCUGGAGUGAGUCACUUUAAGUACCUUAUCCAAAAGUACCUUAUCUAAAAACAUCCUUUAUAUUCCAUACAGCUUUAAACUUCUCGAGACGUGGAGGUAGCUUCAGAGCUAGUCUGAAGGAUGACUCCUGUAAUGUUUCACAAGUGAAUAAAAUUAUGCAAUUAUUAGGUGGGAGGGUAAAUCAGAUAACCGCUUGAUAUUAGAGAAAUGGCUUGUUUAGAGACAGAAGGAUCAGUUCGUCAGUAGCAGCAGGGAGGAAAAUUACUGUAACGCAGUGCUUCCUAAAUCCCUUUCCAGGGUAUCCAUCAAUUGUGAAUGCUACGAGUUUAUUCUUCCUGUAAAAAGACAGAAGGCUGUGAAACAGCCGCAUAAAUACAGAUUCAUUUCUUCAUCUAAGGCUAAAAAUAUUGUUUUCAAACAAGAGCUGCCAUGCACUUCAAAAAAUAUCUGUGCAGGACGGGUAAGUUUGUAAUCAUAGAAUCAUAGGAUGGCCUGGGUUGAAAAGGACCACAAUGAUCAUUGAGUUUCAACCCCCCUGCUAUGUGCAGGGUUGCCAACCACUACACCAGGCUGCCCAGAGCCACAUCCAGCCUGGCCUUGAAUGCCUCCAGCAAUGGGGCAUCCACAACCUCCUUG
ensembl:lncRNA